UACGAAGGGGGCUAGCGUUGUUCGGAAUUACUGGGCGUAAAGGGCGCGUAGGCGGUGUGUCAAGUCAGGCGUGAAAGCCCCGGGCUCAACCUGGGAACCGCGCUUGAGACUGGCACGCUCGAGUUCGGGAGAGGAUGGUGGAAUUCCCAGUGUAGAGGUGAAAUUCGUAGAUAUUGGGAAGAACACCAGUGGCGAAGGCGGCUAACUGGUCCAGCACUGACGCUGAGGUGCGAAAGCGUGGGGAGCAAACAGG
rnacentral:rRNA from 1 species